GGGAGGAAAGACCAGAAGUUCUGUUUUGGACAGUUUGAGUUUAAGGAAGUGAGCAGCCAUCCAGUUGUAAAUCGCGGAGAGGCAGUUAGAGACACAAGUGAAGAUGGGCAAAGAGAGAUCAGGAGAGGACUGGUAGAUUUGUGUGUCAUCUGCCUAUAAAUGAUAAUGGAAGCCAAAGGAGCUGAUUAGUUUAGCAAGGGAGGCAGUAUAGAUAGAGAACAAGGGACCAAAGACAAAACCUUGGGGAACGCCAACAGAGAAGGGUUGGGGAGAAGAGGCAGAGUCAGAGAAAGAAAUACUGAAAAACGAUUGGAGAGGUAGGAGGAGCACCAGAAGAGAGCACUAUCCUGUAGACCGAGAUUAUGGAGAAUGAGAAGAAGCUGUUGAUGAUCAACAGUGUCGAAGGCAGCAGAAAGAUCAAGGAGAAUUAGGAUAGAGUAAUGGCCGCGAGAUUUAGCAGCGAUUAAAUUGUUGGAUACAUUGGUCACAGCUGUUUCAACAGAGUGACGAACGCGGAAUUCAGACUGAAGCAGGUCAAGCAGAGAGUAGGAUUCGAGGAAGUC